GUAGCUGCGUUCGGAUGAGAUAAGCGCUGAAAGCAUCUAAGUGCGAAACUCACCUCAAGAUGAGGCUUCAUUCAAGGGCCGUCAUAGACGAUGACGUUGAUAGGCCGCAGGUGUAAAGUCGGCAACGGCAAAGCCGAGCGGUACUAAUAACCCGAAACUUUCCGGAC
rnacentral:rRNA from 1 species